rnacentral:rRNA from 1 species
GGAAUAGCCCAUCGCCGAACCGCAGGUCUUCUAGGCCUCGUGGAAUGUGGCGUUUGGGAAAGUCUUCUCGCGGCGUGGACGGCCAGUCAAAGUCCAACUUGACAGUGGCCAUGGCCCAUAGAGGGUGAUAGGCCCGUAAGGCGGCUGUCCUGUCGCGCUGACUUUUCCCCAGAGUCAGGUUGCUUGGAAGUGCAGCCCAAAGUGCCAGGUAAACUCCUGGUAAGGCUAAAUAUGACCCCGAGACCGAUAGCAAACAAGUACCGUGAGGGAAAAUUGAAAAGAACUUUGAAGAGAGAGUUCAACAGUACGUGAAACUGUGUGGUGGUAAACGGAGGGGUUCUCGAAGUCUCGAGGGGGAACUCAGCCUAGGAGGCUGGUCAAGCCAGGUGUGUCAGAUCAGCAAUGACUGACUGCCUGUCUUGUCCUGUCUCACGGGUGCACUUUCCCCCUCGUUCACGACAGGAACCGUUAGGGUUGGACCCAAGGCCUGGGAAGAAGUUGUCGGGCAGCUCCUAGUGACCUGGCUUCAGCUCUGACGGGUAGAUAAGUAAGCUCGUAUAGCGAGUGGUCUGCCACGGCUUGCAUCUCCCUGUCGAGUAGGUCGGCGGCCCCUCCGACCCGUCUUGAAACACGGACC